rnacentral:sRNA from 1 species
CCCAAAUGGUGCAAAAUACGCGAAAUGCAGAUAGCCGACGUUUUAACGCGUCGGUUAUUUUUUUUG